AACGAACGCUGGCGGCAGGCUUAACACAUGCAAGUCGAACGAUGAGCCGGGUGCUUGCACUCGGGGAUUAGUGGCGAACGGGUGAGUAACACGUGAGCAACCUGCCCCUGACUCUGGGAUAAGCGCUGGAAACGGCGUCUAAUACUGGAUAUGUCCCGUCACCGCAUGGUGUGCGGGUGGAAAGAUUUUUCGGUUGGGGAUGGGCUCGCGGCCUAUCAGCUUGUUGGUGAGGUAAUGGCUCACCAAGGCGUCGACGGGUAGCCGGCCUGAGAGGGUGACCGGCCCCACUGGGACUGGGACACGGCCCAGACUCCUACGGGAGGCAGCAGUGGGGAAUAUUGCACGAUGGGCGGAAGCCUGAUGCAGCAACGCCGCGUGAGGGAUGACGGCCUUCGGGUUGUAAACCUCUUUUAGCAGGGAAGAAGCGAGAGUGACGGUACCUGCAGAAAAAGCACCGGCUAACUACGUGCCAGCCGCCGCGGUAA
rnacentral:rRNA from 1 species